UGGUGGUCCCGGUGGCCUCCAUUUCAGCCCUUAAGAAGACAAACACAGCACUUGUGGUGCCCAACGCGCUCAGCAUCCGCACGGCCAACGGGGAGAAGUUCCUCUUCGUGUCGCUGCGCCAGCGAGAGGCUGCGUACCAGCUCCUGAAGUCAGUUUGCACACACCUGGAGGACAACAGCCACAGUCCUCUGCCCUCUCUGAGCAACGAGGAAAUCCUUAGGA